GACGAACGCUGGCGGCGCGCUUAACACAUGCAAGUCGAGCGAAGCGGCGGACGGGGUGGUAACACGUGAGUAACCUGCCUUAGACAUUGGGAUAGCCCCGGUAAACGGGGAUUCAUACCACAUGGUCUAAGAUGGACUCGCGUCGCAUUAGCUAGUUGGUGAGGUAACGGCCCACCAAGGCGACGAUGGGUAGCCGGCCUGAGAGGGUGACCGCCUACAUUUGAACUGAGAAGCGGUUCAACAUCUCCGGGGUGUAGCAGUGGCGAAUAGUGUAAACUGGAGUGAAGUCCAAGGCAGCCGCGCCGCGUGAACGAAGAAGGCUUCCGAGCAGUAAAGUCCUUUUAUAUCGGUAGCGGUACCCUCAGUACAAGCCCCGGCUAACUACGUGCCAGCAGCCGCGGUAAUUC
rnacentral:rRNA from 1 species